GGCGUCAUAAGCCAAAGAACGCGGACAGCCUCCAGGAGCUGGAAAAGGCAAAGAAAUGGACUCUCCUCGAGAGCCUCCAGAAGGAAUGCAGCCCUGCCGGCCCAUUUUGGACUUCUGACCUCCAGAACUUGACCAUAAGCCAGAGAAUGUGGACCGUCUCCAGAAGCUGGAAAAGGCAAAGAAAUGGACUCUCCUCUAGAGCCUCCAGAAGGAAUGCAGCCCUGCCGGCCCAUUUUGGACUUCUGACCUCCAGAACUGUUUUGAUUUGUAGUAUACAUCUUUCACACCAGUCUCCAUCUCAGCAUCUGCUUCUGGAGAAACCAACCUGUGACAGUGGAAUUUAAAUAUGAGAAGAUAUGGUCAUUCAUUUGAUACAGAGUAAACGUUUCUAAGUACACUUCUGCAUGUGCUGCAAAGAUAUUUCAUACUUAUAACAAGCAUGGUUGUGGUGGUCUUCAUCGCUAAAAGAAUGGCAGAGCAGACAUACGUGCUUCAGGUCAUUGUUUUCAAAUUCGAAGAG